rnacentral:rRNA from 1 species
UAAGACGAACCGUGCGAACGUUGUUCGGAAUCACUGGGCUUAAAGGGCGCGUAGGCGGACUUGCAAGUCUGCGGUGAAAGCCUCCAGCUCAACUGGAGAAGUGCCGUGGAUACUGCGGGUCUCGAGGAGGGUAGGGGCAUCUGGAACGUUGGGUGGAGCGGUGAAAUGCGUUGAUAUCCAACGGAACUCCGGUGGCGAAGGCGAGGUGCUGGACCCUUUCUGACGCUGAGGCGCGAAAGCCAGGGGAGCGAACGGGAUUAGAUACCCCGGUAGUCCUGGCCCUAAACGUUGAGAACUAGGUAGUGGACUUAACAUGGGUUCACUGUCGAAGCAAAAGUGCUAAGUUCUCCGCCUGGGGAGUAUGGUCGCAAGGCUG